AGAUGUUGGUUGGGGUAUGCAGGAUCUUUUUUUUUUUUUUUCUUUUCUGGUUGCAGCAUGUGGCAUCUUUAGUUGCAGGACAGGGAUUGAACCUGGGCCCCCUGCAUUGGCAGCAUGAAGUCAAAGUCACUGGAUCACCAGAGAAGUCCCAGGGAAGUAUUUUUUAAUUAAAGUAAGAAAGGUACUGAACAUUUUCAUCACCCCCAAAGAUUCCCUUGUGCCCCUUCCCAGUCAACCCCCACUCCUCAUGCCCCUUGCUCUAGGCAACCACUGAGAUGCAUUCUAUCAUGACACGUUGGAUUUUUUUUUUGUCCUGUAGGUUUGUGUAAAUGGAAUCAUAAGCACCGGGCAGAGGAAGAUGAAUCAGACAUGGUCCACUGUCUGGCGCAAGGCUUCUCAACUUUUAAGCCUGUGUCCUCUUUGAUAAUGACGGAAAUCUCAGAUCCUUUCCUGAUUUACAGGUCUACCCCUACCUGUGACGUCAGCUUCAUCUUCCUCAAGAACAGUGCUUAUCAUGUACUCCUCUGCUUGAAUAUCUUCAAUAUCUCCUUAUGACAUCCUGGAGAAAAGAUAACCUUCUUGGGAUGGCAUUCUGGAUCCCGGGAAACUGACUGAAGACACUUCAACCUCACAGGAAACCUGGCAGCCGUGUUAUUGGUGCCUCCUUGAAGACUUCCUGACAUUUCUUUUGAAAUUCUAUCCAUCCUCAAGGGAAAGUUCAAAUGUCACUGUAUUAGUUUUCUAUUGCUGUGUAACAAGCUACCAUAAACUUAGUGGUUUAAACCAACAGCCAUGUAUUACCUCCUCACUUUGUCGGUCAGAAUUCUGAGCAGGUUCAACUGGAUUCUCUGCUCAGGGUCUCGCAAGAUGGAAACCAAGGUGUCAGCUGGAGUAGGCACUUACCCGGAAGCUCCCAGGUAGAAUCUGUCUCCAGCUCAUCCAGAUUGUUGACUGAAUUCUGUUUCUUAUGUUGUAGAAAGAAGAUCAUUUUCCUUACUGGCUGUUGACUGGGGUUACUCUGACCUCAUAGAGGUUGCUCUCGGCUCUUUCCACAUGUCCUCCUCCAUCUCAGUUACAGAAAACCUCCCUUGAGUCCCAAGUUGCCCUCAUGUUUAAGUUUUCUUCUUCUAGAAGAUUCAUGUGAUGAGACUGGGCCCACUUGGAUAAGCUCCCUUUUGCCAAAUAAAGGAUCAUGAUCAUAGGAAUAAUAUCUCAACAUAUCCACAGGUUCUGCCCAUACUCAAAGAGGAUGAAAUUAUAAAAGGGUGAGGAUCACUGGGGUCAUUCUUUAAAUUUUGCGCAUCAUACCACCUCUUUGAGAAACCUCUUCUGAUCCCUUCAGAUGAGUGCCAGCCCCUUCCUCUGCACCUCACAGCAUGUUGUGAGAAUGAAUUCACUCUCUGCACUGGAGUUACUAUGACCUGGUCUCUCUCCACAGAAAAUAAGAGCCCACAGGUCUUCCUUUCCUCUUUGUCUUUCUUAGUCUUGGUUCUUCAAAGUCCCUGAAUUAUUUUUGUGCCAGAAUAUAUUUUGGUAUUGUACUAUAUUUAAAUACUGAAAGACACAUGAAGGACUAAACCUUAAAAUGUUAAAAAAGAAAAUGUACAGAGCCACGAAAUAAAUGAAGUUCUAGAGAAAAGGAAGUUCUAAUAUAAUUUUUACAAGAGUUUUCCAUGACAUUUUCAGUUAUGUCUUCUUGGUGGGUUAAGUAUGAAAUACCCCUCUUUGUUUC
ensembl:lncRNA